AAGGAGCACACGAACCGAACUCCAGCUCCUUGACUCCUCCUUAUCCGCCGCCACGUCUUGAGCUGCCCAUCUAUGGCGCCGCCGGGCUGGUUCGUCAUCCACCCCUGCGCCUCCUAGUCCCCCCUGCCAAUCUCCACCACCUCCAGCCUCAUACUACUAGUCCUGCCAGUGCGCCGUCGCCCGCCGCCGGUGAACGCCCUCCGCAAGGACUGCCACCGGCCCCUCUGCUGCGGCGCUCCUCGGCUGUCCCCGGCCCUCUGCCUAGUCGCCAGGGACGUGGUGCUCCUCUGCUCCAGCCAGCCCCCCGUGCCGGCUCUGGCAGUCUGCUCCGAUCUCUCCCGGUGGUGCUCGCCUGCUUGGCCGGAUUCUGCCACCCAGGACUUCCCGUGAACAAAUAGCAAGCUGGGACACAGAAAUAGAAGGGGAAGAUAUAUUUCAUUGGUGCCCUCAACGGAAGUGUGUACACCUGGUGUUUCAGUUGGUCUGAAUCAACUCCAGAAAUUCGAACAACCAUAGAUUGGACCACCACCUUUGAUUUCAAAUAACCCGCCUUCAAUCUCAAUCGAGAAAGCAUAUCAAAGGGCGAUGGAUCGAGGUUGGAUGAGUCAACCAAGAGCUAGUGCUUCUUACAAAGAUGGUGUCGAGCAAUUUCUAUCUUUUGCAUUCCGUGAUGUUCCGGCUGGUGAUAGAAUUCCUUGUCCUUGUGUAAAUUGCCGAAAUAAAGCUAUGCAGAGUUAUGAUGGAGUGAAAGACUCACUUGAGAUGUGAUGGUAUUCUUCAAGGUUACACUAAGUGGGUUUGCCAUGGAGAGGAUUACA